rnacentral:rRNA from 1 species
UACGUAGGGGGCGAGCGUUGUCCGGAUUUAUUGGGCGUAAAGGGCUCGUAGGCCGCUUGGCAAGUCGGGUGUGAAACCUCCAGGCUCAACCUGGAGACGCCACUCGAUACUGCUAUGGCUAGAGUCCGGUAGGGGACCACGGAAUUCCUGGUGUAGCGGUGAAAUGCGCAGAUAUCAGGAGGAACACCGAUGGCGAAGGCAGUGUUCUGGGCCAGUACUGACGCUGAGGAGCGAAAGCGUGGGGAGCAAACAGG